rnacentral:rRNA from 1 species
GAUGAACGCUGGCGGCGUGCCUAAUACAUGCAAGUCGAGCGAACAAAUAAGGAGCUUUCUCCUUUGACGUUAGCGGCGGCCAGGGGGGUAACAAGAGGGUAAUCACCCUCUCCGACCGGGAUGACUUCGGGAAAACGGUGCGACUAACAGAUAAUAUUUCGAAUCGCUUGGUUCGUUAGUGUAGGAUGGUUUUUGUAUCACUUAUAGAUGGACCCGCGCCGUAUUAGCUAGUUGGUAAGGUAACGGCUUACCAAGGCGACGACACUUAGCCGACCUGAGAGGGUGGUCGGCCACAAUGGAAGUAAGGCGAGGUGCAGACUCCUACGGGAGGCGGCAGUAGGGAGUCUUCCGCAAUGGGCGGAAGCCUGACGGAGCAACGCCGCGUGGUGGGUGAAGGUCGUCGUAGCGUAAAACUCUUUUAUUAGGGAAGAACAUACGUGUAAGUAACUGUGCGCGGCUUGACGGUAGCUAAACAGAAAGCCACGGCUAACUACGUG